CGAUUAUUGUGGAAACAUGAAGUUCUUACAGACCGUGCUUGUUUUGGUCAUCGCAGUCAUCCUCGCCGCCCAAGGCCAAAUGAGAGGCAUGGGAAGAGGCUAUGAAAUGGGUCGUGGAGGAUAUGGAAUGGGUCGCGGAGGAUAUGGAGGCCGAGGCGGGGGAAUGAUGCGAAUCGGCAAAUGAGCAAGUACUAGCAAUAUUUUUGACGACUAGAAAACCCGGCAUCUCAACCGGAAUUAACAGACGAAAUGAAUUAAACAAUGAGGUUAACGUUAAUUGAAUUGUUAUCAAAAUCAAUAAAUAAAUAAAUUCAAUAUUCGAAAAA